UACGUAGGGUGCGAGCGUUAAUCGGAAUUACUGGGCGUAAAGCGUGCGCAGGCGGUUAUUUAAGUCAGGUGUGAAAGCCCUGGGCUUAACCUAGGAAUUGCGCUUGAGACUGGAUAGCUUGGAGUGCGGCAGAGGGAGGUGGAAUUCCACGUGUAGCAGUGAAAUGCGUAGAGAUGUGGAGGAACACUGAUGGCGAAGGCAGCCUCCUGGGCCAGCACUGACGCUCAUGCACGAAAGCGUGGGGAGCAAACAGG
rnacentral:rRNA from 1 species